rnacentral:rRNA from 1 species
CCUACGGGAGGCAGCAGUGGGGAAUAUUGGGCAAUGGACGCAAGUCUGACGCAGCAACGCCGCGUGAAGGAAGAAGGCUUUCGGGUUGUAAACUUCUUUUAAGGGGGAAGAGCAGAAGACGGUACCCCUUGAAUAAGCCACGGAUAACGACGUGCCAGAAGCCGGGGUAAUACGGAGGUGGCAAGCGUUGUCCGGAGUUACUGUGCGUAAAGGGCGUGCAGCCGGGAAGACAAGUCAGAUGUGAAAUCCCGCGGCUCAACCGUGGAACUGCAUUUGACACUGUUUAUCUUGAGUAUCGGAGAGGUGAUCGGAAUUCCAAGUGUAGCGGUGAAAUGCGUAGAUAUGAGGAAGAACACCAGUGGCGAAGGCGGAUUACUGGACGACAACUGACGGUGAGGCGCGAAAGCGUGGGGAGCAAACAGGAUUAGAUACCCCAGUAGUC